CUACGGGCGGCUCCAGUGAGGAAUAUUGCACAAUGGGGGGAACCCUGAUGCAGCAACGCCGCGUGGAGGAUGACGCAUUUCGGUGUGUAAACUCCUUUUAUAUGUCAAGAAAAUGACGGUAGCAUAUGAAUAAGCACCGGCUAACUCCGUGCCAGCAGCCGCGGUAAUACGGAGGGUGCAAGCGUUACUCGGAAUCACUGGGCGUAAAGGACGCGUAGGCGGGUUGGAAAGUCAGGUGUGAAAUCCUACAGCUUAACUGUGGAACUGCACUUGAAACUUCUAAUCUAGAGUAUGGGAGGGGGAGAUGGAAUUAGUGGUGUAGGGGUAAAAUCCGUAGAUAUCACUAGGAAUACCUAAAGCGAAGGCGAUCUCCUGGAACAUUACUGACGCUAAGGCGUGAAAGCGUGGGGAGCAAACAGGAUUAGAUACCCAUGUAGUC
rnacentral:rRNA from 1 species